UACGGAGGGUGCAAGCGUUAUCCGGAUUCACUGGGCUUAAAGGGUGCGUAGGCGGCUUAAUAAGUCAUUGGUGAAAGCUCGCAGCUCAACUGCGAAACUGCCAUUGAAACUGUUUAGCUUGAAUGUGGUUGAAGUGGGCGGAAUACAACAUGUAGCGGUGAAAUGCUUAGAUAUGUUUUAGAACACCGAUUGCGAAGGCAGCUCACUAAGCCAAUAUUGACGCUGAGGCACGAAAGCGUGGGUAGCAAACAGG
rnacentral:rRNA from 1 species